UACGGAGGGUGCAAGCGUUAAUCGGAAUUACUGGGCGUAAAGCGUGCGUAGGCGGUUGUUUAAGUCUGUCGUGAAAUCCCCGGGCUCAACCUGGGAAUGGCGAUGGAUACUGGGCAGCUAGAGUGUGUCAGAGGAUGGUGGAAUUCCCGGUGUAGCGGUGAAAUGCGUAGAGAUCGGGAGGAACAUCAGUGGCGAAGGCGGCCAUCUGGGACAACACUGACGCUGAGACGCGAAAGCGUGGGGAGCGAACAGG
rnacentral:rRNA from 1 species